CGAUUAUGAAUAACGUUUUUUAUCAGAGGUUUAUAAGAGUGUUUUAAGCCUAUCAAACGUUUUAGCUAAUGUAGGUUUUAAACCUAUAUUAGCAUU